rnacentral:misc_RNA from 1 species
CGUGCGUGUGCGGAGCGGGAUGGACAAAGCCUUCGUGGAAUCCAUACGCGGGCUUGAACUCGCACCAGUAGGCCAUCGGAUAGCCGCGGUCCGGUUCGCUCUGGCGCCGGCGGUGUUUUUCCUUGUUGUAGAUCGUGUAAUUUCCCGUGGGAGUCGCGGCGCCAGGCUUGCCGACGUUGCCUUGGACCGCCAUGAGCAGGCGGUCGCCUUCGAUCACAUAAAGAUUCUGAGUCGAGAGCGAAAGUUUCACUUCGACCUUUGAGGGGUCCUGCGGCUUGUGCGCGAUGACGCGAUAGCUUCCGGAAGAAACGCUGGUCAUGGAUCCACAACUCGUCAGAAACAGAGCAGCCGUGAAGCCGAG